rfam:Hordeum vulgare subsp. vulgare, WGS project CAJW01000000 data, contig: morex_contig_237375
UAGACACUCUCUCCGUAAGGAAAUACUUGUCCUAGAGAUGAAUAUAUUUAGACUUAUUUUAAUUGUAGAUACAUUCAUUAUAUGUAUUUUUAGGACAAGUAUUUCCGGACGGAGGGAGUACUAU